CACAAAAAUAAGGAAGACUCAAAUACAAUUAAACAUUAAACUGAUACUCUAAUUCACUGUUCCAAAACAAAAGAGAGACACAAGGAAACACGUGGAAACAGGCGGGCAAUACUAGCGAGCGAUUUAUGUUCAGUCCUCCCGGUGUUGUCGUUAUGAGGGAGGCUAGAGUUUGAGACAGUGUUGCCAAGUUUCGUGAGAGAAAUAAGGAAACAGACCUCCAGAAACAAGCCAAAAACAAGC